CAUAUUCCAUCAUUAUAUUAAUAUUAGAACUUUGUCUAUCUGGGAAACCAGGGUAAUGUAUAAAAAAAAGCAUAAUCAUUUUUUAAUUUAAUAUACCGAUAUAUACCUAUAUCUAUAUAAUGUUAGUAAAAGCGUAUAAACAUACUAAAGAAGAUAAAAUUAAAUACAUCUUUUACAUAAAUACAACAAAAACAAAAACAUAAAGCGU